CAGGAAUUCAAAGGAUUAAGAAAGCGACUCCAAGAAAUGGGACAAAAAACAGAAGCGAGUGUGGUAAGCAAAGGCCUGGAAUUGGGAAUAUUCAAGGGACCCCUGCAAUAUACUGUCUGGAAAGAAAUGUUACAAAUCCUCUCACCUGGUGUAUGUGAUUCAGGUAAAACGAUACCAUCCUGUUUGUCACACAAGCCGUACUGACCAUUACCCAGCAGCAAAGAUGCCAAUUCGGAAGCACACACCUCCUUCUGGAAUGUGCCUAUGCAGAAGAAGUCUGGAGAGGAAUGCAGUGGUGUUUGUCGAGGUUCG